rnacentral:rRNA from 1 species
CCUACGGGAGGCAGCAGUAGGGAAUCUUCCACAAUGGGCGCAAGCCUGAUGGAGCAACACCGCGUGAGUGAAGAAGGGUUUCGGCUCGUAAAGCUCUGUUGUUGGAGAAGAACGUGCGUGAGAGUAACUGUUCACGCAGUGACGGUAUCCAACCAGAAAGUCACGGUUAAUUACGUGCCAGCAGCCGCGGUAAUAAGUAGGUGGCUAGCGUUAUCCGGUUUUAUUGGGCGUGAAGCGAGCGCAGGUGGUUGGUUAGGUCUGAUGUGAAAGCCUUCGGCUUAACCGAAGAAGUGCAUCGGAAACCGGGCGACUUGAGUGCAGAAGAGGACAGUGGAACUCGAGGUGUAGCGGUGGAAUGCGUAGAUAGAUGGAAGAACACCGGUGGCGAAGGCGGCUGUCCGGUCUGCAACUGACGCUGAGGCUCGAAAGCAUGGGUAGCGAACAGGAUUAGAUACCCUGGUAGUC